rnacentral:rRNA from 1 species
UACGGGGGGGGGCAAGCGUUGUUCGGAAUUACUGGGCGUAAAGGGCUGGUAGGCGGCCAACUAAGUCGGAUGUGAAAUCCCCAGGCUUAACCUGGGAACUGCAUCCGAUACUGGUCGGCUUGAAUCCGGGAGAGGGAUGCAGAAUUCCAGGUGUAGCGGUGAAAUGCGCAGAUAUCAGGAGGAACACCAAUUGCGAAGGCAGCUCGCUGGGACGUUACUGACGCUGAGACGCGAAAGCGUGGGGAGCAAACAGG